UACGUAGGGUGCGAGCGUUAAUCGGAAUUACUGGGCGUAAAGCGUGCGCAGGCGGUCCGUUGUGUCUGCGGUGAAAGCCCCGGGCUCAACCUGGGAACCGCGCUUGAGACUGGCAUGCUCGAGUUCGGGAGAGGAUGGUGGAAUUCCCAGUGUAGAGGUGAAAUUCGUAGAUAUUGGGAAGAACACCGAUGGCGAAGGCAGCCAUCUGGACCGACACUGACGCUGAGGCGCGAAAGCGUGGGGAGCAAACAGG
rnacentral:rRNA from 1 species